CACAGCUAGGACUUGUCACCCUGGCACUGGGCUCCGGUCCCACAGCAUGAACGGCCAGACCUCCCGCCCAUCCCGAGGCUCAGCCGUUGGUGGUGACAUGGUCUGAGUCCCUCAGCUCGGAGGCCAGCUGGGGCCUGGAUGUCCAGCUCCCCUCUUCAUUCAUCCAACAUUUCGACCACAGGCAACUAACUUCACUGGCCUCGGUUUUCCCAUCUAGAGAAACGGGACAAGAGCACCGACCACAGGGGAUGAUUCUGAGGAUUCCUUGAGCACCAAGGGAAGGAAGUCCUCUGGACCAAGCUCAAGUUGGUUGAAGCGAGUGCUCUCAAGGGCCUCUUGGGCAUGCCUCAGUACUCCUUCUCCCCUCUUGUGGCCCCCAAGGCUGGACAUGCCUGCCAUUGAGUUGGUAGGGGAUUCCUCGGCUCUGGCCUAAAGGCGGCAAGAUGGCCAGUUGAGUCUACCCACCUCUGGGAGACACAACAGAGGGGCCCAGGAGGACAGGGCUGAGGUGAAGGGUGAGAAGCCGCACGCUGACCUCGUCACAUCUGCUGACCAAUAAGGCCCGAGGAGGAUGAGCAAACUAUCUCUUCCCCCUGCACAGGCUGCUGGGCAGCCGGGUCUGCACGGAGCCUGACCUUGGCAUGGGGCUGGUGGAAAAGGCUCUCCUCUGCUAGGCUCUGCUCCCUCAGCUCCGUGUGGAGUUCCCAGGGCGCUGGCUGUGUGCUCUCCUGAGGUGUGUGCAGGCUCCGUGGCUCUGUGGCUUUCCGAAAGCCCCCAGGACACACACUGUGUUCCUAGAUGCCUAGCCCUCCCCACCCUGCCGCUGGCCAGGCACACUGAGCUGCCUAGGAGUCAGAUGCCCAGUCAGUUACCCAAUGACGCACGCUCCAUUUGCUCCACGGGUCCCAUUUUACAGCUGGGAGCCCUUUCUGCAGAUGAAACACUUGGCAGGAGCCGAAUAUGAGGAACGUACUUGACGGAAGAGCUCUGAGGCCUCCGCACAGCACAGCCCUCCAUCUCCAGAAUGAAGACUUGAUGGCCGGCGCUCCAGGGGCCAUUUUGGAACACGUGGCCCACUUAAGGGUAGGAGUUGCACAGAAGUGGCAGAGCAGAAAGAUGGAAGGUCUGAGUUGCUGAGGACUUUAAGGAGCUUCCCAAUCCUUGCUGGACUUCUUUAUAUGAGA